CAAACACGUCUAGGUAUUAUUACUCGCACUCAUCUUUUGAUGUGUUAUUCACUGCCACACACAAGGGGCACGGAUUAUUUUGGAGCUUGGUUGGAUCUGUGUGAAUUUCAUUGUUGUACGAAGAAGAAGAUCCCCAUUUUGUACGUCAUUCGUCCCUUUAUUUGAUAAUAUCCAUCUGCUCAUCUUGCUUUCACUCAACAAAAUCGGCUGACUAUACGUUACAGCGCAAUUUUAAAAGUUGGCUAGAAUUAUCAUGGCUAUAUGGUGCUAGAAACGUACUAGCAACAGUGCACGUAUAUGUUGUAGCUACAUACAGGUCAGCUAAUAUCUAAACUGGACAAAAUAUAUAAAUACGUAGGCAUGUACAAGCUCAGAAUAGUAUGUAUAAAAAGUAAAAAGGGAAUAAAUACCAUGUAUGUAUGCUAGAAU